rnacentral:lncRNA from 1 species
ACCGAACAUCAGUUGUGCCUGGGAAGUUUGUGGUGCGGUGUCAUACACAUUCCGGUAAUCCUUCUCUUUCGACAACAAUGAGGAAGGAUAUCGAUCUAAAGUCCAAAUUCUUGCAAGUUUAUGAUUCUAUAAAAUCAGAUCUACUUCAUGAUCCUGCAUUUGAGUUCGAUGACGAUUCCCGUCAGUGGGUUGAACGGAUGAUCGACUACAAUGUACCUGGAGGUAUAAUCAGUGUCGCCGUUAUGGUGCAAGAAACUUUUGUGCUUCUAAAGAUCAUUGAAGGGUACUAAUUGGUUGUCCUGUGCCAGGAAAGAUGACCCGAGGCCUCUCUGUGUUGGACAGCUACAAGUUGCUCAAAGGAGAAUCAGAACUCACGGAUGAUGAACUUUUUCUUGCAUGUGCCCUUGGUUGGUGCAUUGAAUGGAUGCAAGGAUAUAUUGUUCUACAUGAUGACAUAGUCG